rnacentral:rRNA from 1 species
CGCGUAGGAAUCUACCCAUCUGUGGGGAUACCAGUUGGAAACGACUGUUAAUACCGCAUAAUAUCUGCGGAUUAAAGGUGGCCUUUGAGCUGCCGCAGAUGGAUGAGCCUGCGUUAGAUUAGCUUGUUGGUGGGGUAAAGGCCUACCAAGGCUACGAUCUAUAGCUGAUUUGAGAGGAUGAUCAGCCACAUUGGGACUGAGACACGGCCCAAACUCCUACGGGAGGCAGCAGUGGGGAAUAUUGGACAAUGGGCGAAAGCCUGAUCCAGCAAUGCCAUGUGUGUGAAGAAGGCUCUAGGG